UNGGAAUUACUGGGCGUAAAGNGGGCGCAGACGGUUACUUAANCAGGAUGUGAAAUCCCCGGGNUCAACCUGGGAACUGCGUUNUGAACUGGGUGACUAGAGUGUGUCAGAGGGAGGUAGAAUUCCACGUGUAGCAGUGAAAUGCGUAGAGAUGUGGAGGAAUACCGAUGGCGAAGGCAGCCUCCUGGGAUAACACUGACGUUCAUGCCCGAAAGCGUGGGUAGCAAACAGGAUUAGAUACCCUGGUAGUNCACGCCCUAAACGAUGUCGAUUAGCUGUUGGGCAGCAUGACUGCUUAGUAGCGAAGCUAACGCGUGAAAUCGACCGCCUGGGGAGUACGGUCGCAAGAUUAAAACUCAAAGGAAUUGACGGGGACCCGCACAAGCGGUGGAUGAUGUGGAUUAAUUCGAUGCAACGCGAAGAACCUUACCUGGUCUUGACAUGUGCGGAACCCUCCAGAGACGGAGGGGUGCCUUCGGGAGCCGUAACACAGGUGCUGCAUGGCUGUCGUCAGCUCGUGUCGUGAGAUGUUGGGUUAAGUCCCGCAACGAGCGCAACCCUUGUCAUUAGUUGCCAUCAUUAAGUUGGGCACUCUAAUGAGACUGCCGGUGACAAGCCGGAGGAAGGUGGGGAUGACGUCAAGUCCUCAUGGCCCUUAUGACCAGGGCUUCACACGUCAUACAAUGGUCGGUACAGAGGGUAGCCAAGCCGCGAGGUGGAGCCAAUCUCACAAAACCGAUCGUAGUCCGGAUUGCACUCUGCAACUCGAGUGCAUGAAGUCGGAAUCGCUAGUAAUCGCAGGUCAGCAUACUGCGGUGAAUACGUUCCCGGGUCUUGUACACACCGCCCGUCACACCAUGGGAGCGGGGGAUACCAGAAGUAGGUAG
rnacentral:rRNA from 1 species